UAACGCGAAGAACCUUACCAAGGCUUGACAUACACCGGAAACGGCCAGAGAUGGUCGCCCCCUUGUGGUCGGUGUACAGGUGGUGCAUGGUUGUCGUCAGCUCGUGUCGUGAGAUGUUGGGUUAAGUCCCGCAACGAGCGCAACCCUCGUUUUAUGUUGCCAGCGCGUAAUGGCGGGAACUCAUAGGAGACUGCCGGGGUCAACUCGGAGGAAGGUGGGGAUGACGUCAAAUCAUCAUGCCCCUUAUGUCUUGGGCUUCACGCAUGCUACAAUGGCCGGUACAAAGGGCUGCGAUACCGUAAGGUGGAGCGAAUCCCAAAAAGCCGGUCUCAGUUCGGAUUGAGGUCUGCAACUCGACCUCAUGAAGUCGGAGUCGCUAGUAAUCGCAGAUCAGCA
rnacentral:rRNA from 1 species